GUGUAGCCCAUUUGCAUAGAUUGAAGCUUAUGAUGUUUAUCACUGGAUUGUCUGGUCAAGACUCGAUUAUUUACAGACCGCCGCCAUAUAGCUGGAAUAUUGCUGAG